CUCAUGUCUUGUUUUCGUCAUAGAUGUCGAGAGAUGGCUCAAUGGUGGACAGCUCUGUUUCGUAACCCAAGCUUCGUGGAGACAGGGAAUUUCGGUGGAAAAACAGACUACCUGAAAAGGAAACAUAAAAAAAUAAGCAAACAAAUAGAUACAGAAGUUGGCAUAACAACCGAAAAUUACACCUCUGAAUUGCCGCUAUGGUCGUGUACUAACUGGAGAGGCUGAACGGAGAAGCUCGCGGAGGUGCUAAAUCUCUUAGAACCAACAGUGUAUCAACAAACAACUACAAUCACUGAAAAUUCACCAUAACUUAAAAUGAUAAAACAAACAUCCAGCAUUGAAAUCAUUUUCAAUUUGUAAAACCCCUCCACUGCUUUUUUUCCCCCCAAAAAUAGCAAUUUUUCUUGGAAAAAAAAUCUUAAAAAUUAUUAUUAUUUUUUUUUUAUGUAAGCUUUCGGAAGUAGUAGUAGUUUGUGAACAAAGUAUGUUUAAUUUUCUAUAUGUAUUUAUGUACCCUUUUGAAAUGUAAAAUGCUACAUAUGAUGACAUUACAUAAACAAGACAUAAAGAUUAUUACGUAUGAAAAGAAUAAACUUCAAGUGUUUAAAUCCAUGAAGGAUUCACUCAAGUAUGAGUGAAGACCUCUCCUCUACAUCCUCUGUGCACGAGUGUUAUGUGAUCUUCAAUAGAAAUAAUUUCUACUAAGCACACUAGCAUUACAAUGUGGUUACCAAUGGAUUCUUGGGAGAUGUCGGCUGGUCACAACAUAACAACAAAUAUGGCAGCAU